rnacentral:sRNA from 1 species
GCUGGGUGUGGUGGUGCACGCCUGUAAUCCCAGUGGAUUGGGAGGCUGAGGCAGGAGGUUCUCGAGUUCAAAGCCAGCCUCAGCAAUGUGGGGAAACCCUGUCUCUA